ACUACUUUGUAAAUUGUUUGCAUUCCGAAAUUCGGAAUCGAUGUUGACUUUUGGGUUACUUGGGUAGUGUAGCCACGUCCAAACCAUGAUACAAUAUCCAUACUAAAUAUUAACAAUCCACGAUCCAUCUGCCAAACUAACGAAUUUUAAGUUAUUGCUAUCCAAUGUAGGUAUGUGUCAGAGCAGAAUCGCAGAUCUAAACAAGCGUCAUGAAAGAAACACUUGAUCAUGUAAAAAAGUUAGCUAUAUACCUAUAUGCAGCCUACACGACAGAAGACCGUCAUCCCCAUAGGCUUUCACCGGGAGUUAAUUGCACUGUCAGGCUCAAGCACAUAAGCCUUCAACUACAAAAUGAUUAUUGUCAUUAAUCUGUGUUGUUCUUGGACUUUUCCUGGUCACCACUUGAAUAUCGUAUCACGAAAGGCUUUACAGAAAACUUGACUUCUGGAGUCUCUGGACUGCACUAGGCCUGGUAUGAUCACUACAUUGACUGUUGGGUCCUUACUUAGCCGGUCCUCCAUGAGCUCUCGCGCACCUGCCCUUUCAGUAAGGUCAACAGAGCUGCAAAGUAUAUGGUCUCCCCACUGCACUGUAGGAUCAGAUUUGGUUUGUGCAUUCAUAAACAGAAGGUAACGCACU